ACGAGGUAGAUAGGGCAGAGGUGGAAGUGUGGCAACACAUGGAGCUGACUGUCACUAAUAGGUCGAGGGCAUAACCAAG
rnacentral:rRNA from 1 species